AUACAUGCGAAUCUACAAGAAGGGUGAUAUUGUAGACAUCAAGGGGAUGGGCACUGUUCAAAAAGGAAUGCCCCAUAAGUGCUACCACGGCAAAACCGGAAGAGUCUACAAUGUCACCCAGCAUGCCGUGGGCAUCAUUGUCAACAAGCAGGUUAAGGGCAAAAUUCUGGCCAAGAGGAUCAAUGUGCGGAUUGAGCAC